CAACAUUUACUUACACUGCUGACGACGGUGUUUAACAUUAGAUUAUGCUGAAGCCCAAAGAACACACCGGUUCGUUGAAAACUUGUCAUCGAUUUCCAGAAAGGCACCAAUUCCGGCUAGAACUUAUUAUCAAUUAAGCGCUGUUCUCAUCGAAAUUGGAUCUAGCAGAUGCAGCGUUAUGUUUUAUCAUAAGGCACCCGCAACAUCGUCACUUAUGCAUGGAAUUACUUGAUUCGCACGUUUGUCGCCGAUGUAAUUUUGCUGUUUGGUCCAAAAUAAGCGACUUUAAUAAUACGAACAUUUUCUUAUGAAAUUAAUCCUGGUCCAAUUACCGAUUAUUUGCAACGCAUUCACCAACAUGUGGCAAUUAUACGUUCAUUAUUCAUUAUAUUGC
rnacentral:lncRNA from 1 species